CACGUAGGGCGCAAGCGUUGUCCGGAAUUAUUGGGCGUAAAGAGCUCGUAGGCGGCUUGUCGCGUCGACUGUGAAAACCCGAGGCUCAACUUCGGGCUUGCAGUCGAUACGGGCAGGCUAGAGUUCGGUAGGGGAGACUGGAAUUCCUGGUGUAGCGGUGAAAUGCGCAGAUAUCAGGAGGAACACCGAUGGCGAAGGCAGGUCUCUGGGCCGAUACUGACGCUGAGGAGCGAAAGCGUGGGGAGCGAACAGG
rnacentral:rRNA from 1 species